rnacentral:rRNA from 1 species
GCGAAAGCCGUGACAGGAGACGAGGUAAGAAGGAGGAUCCGAGCGGUAGCCGGGAGCAAUGGGUUGAAAGGGUCCGUAGGCGGUCUUAUAAGUCAGUGGUGAAAGCCCAUCGCUCAACGAUGGAACUGCCAUUGAUACUGGAAGACUUGAAUGCUUAGGAAGUAACUAGAAUAUGUAGUGUAGCGGUGAAAUGCUUAGAUAGUACAUGGAAUACCAAUUGCGAAGGCAGGUUACUACUAAGUGAUUGACGCUGAUGGACGAAAGCGUGGGGAGCGAACAGGAUUAGAUACCCCAGUAGUC